ACUGACGCUGAGGCACGAAAGCAUGGGUAGCAAACAGGAUUAGAUACCCUGGUAGUCCAUGCCGUAAACGAUGAUUACUAGGUGUGGGGGGAUUGACCCCUUCCGUGCCGCAGUUAACACAAUAAGUAAUCCACCUGGGGAGUACGGCCGCAAGGUUGAAACUCAAAGGAAUUGACGGGGGCCCGCACAAGCAGUGGAGUAUGUGGUUUAAUUCGAAGCAACGCGAAGAACCUUACCAGGUCUUGACAUCGAGUGACGUAUCCAGAGAUGGAUAUUCCCUACGGGGCACGAAGACAGGUGGUGCAUGGUUGUCGUCAGCUCGUGUCGUGAGAUGUUGGGUUAAGUCCCGCAACGAGCGCAACCCUUGCUGUUAGUUGCUACGCAAGAGCACUCUAACAGGACUGCCGUUGAUAAAACGGAGGAAGGUGGGGACGACGUCAAAUCAUCAUGCCCCUUAUGACCUGGGCUACACACGUACUACAAUGGCCGUAAACAAAGGGAAGCAAAGGAGCGAUCCGGAGCAAACCCCCAAAAACGGUCCCAGUUCAGAUUGUAGGCUGCAACCCGCCUACAUGAAGUUGGAAUUGCUAGUAAUCGCAG
rnacentral:rRNA from 1 species